rnacentral:rRNA from 1 species
GACGAACCGUGCGAACGUUAUUCGGAAUCACUGGGCUUAAAGCGCGUGUAGGCGGGGCGGCACGUCGGUCGCUGAAAGCCCCCCGGCUCAACCGGGGAACGGGCGCCGAUACGACCGCCCUCGAGGGACGUAGGGGGACCUGGAACUUCCGGUGGAGCGGUGAAAUGCGUUGAGAUCGGAAGGAACGCCCGUGGCGAAAGCGAGGUCCUGGACGUCUGCUGACGCUGAGACGCGAAAGCCAGGGGAGCGAACGGG